rnacentral:rRNA from 1 species
UACGUAGGGUGCAAGCGUUGUCCGGAAUUAUUGGGCGUAAAGAGCUCGUAGGCGGUCUGUCGCGCCGAUGUGAAAUCCCGAGGCUUAACCUCGGGCCUGCAUUCGAUACGGGCAGACUAGAGUUCGGUAGGGGAGACUGGAAUUCCUGGUGUAGCGGUGAAAUGCGCAGAUAUCAGGAGGAACACCGGUGGCGAAGGCGGGUCUCUGGGCCGAUACUGACGCUGAGGAGCGAAAGCCGUGGGGAGCGAACGG